UUGCCCAGGCUGGAGUGCGGUGGUGUGAUCUCAUCUCACUGCCUCGGCCUCCUGAGUAGCUGUGAUUACAGGCAUGCGCCACCAUGCCCAGCUUCUUUUUUUUUUUUUUUUUUUUUUUUUGUAUUUUUAGUAAAGACGGAGUUUUCCCCAUGUUGGCCAGGCUAGUCUCAAACUCCUGACCCCUAGUGAUCUGCCUACCUUAGCCUCCCAAAGUGCUGGGAUUACAGGCAUGAGCCACCGUGCCUGGCCCAGCCAAGUGUUUUCUAGUCUGCAGCUAUACUCAGAGGAGGGCAAGGCAUGGAGUCUCAUGCUUACCAGAACCAGGGAAGCAGGUGAUAAACUGGCUCGGGAGAGUUCUGAAGAAGACUGCCCAUCUUGAAACCGCCUUUGCCAAAAUUAUGGGGAAUUAUGACAGUGAAAUAGAUCAGACCUAACUGACUCCAUCUUGCUUCUAACCUCUAAACUGUCCUUAUCCAUUCCUGGGCAUAGGCCGAACUAGCCUUGGGAAGGAAUUUAGUUUAUAGUUUAAAUAACAGCCCUUCCCAAAAGCAAAUCUGUUCUUGUAAAACGAAUGAAAGGCCACCAGCCACCAAGUUAGGAUGAGAGGGGCUGGAACUCUAAAUAUUACCAGCUGUUACGUGGAAGGUCAUGAGAUUUGCAACUUCCCUGAUUACUCUUGAAGAUAACAUCACCAUUGUGAACCUGAGAUUGGCCUUUUGAGAUGUCUUUUCAGGUUUUUCCAUUUCUGACAAGUGGUUGGCCUCACCUGGACCUGCCAACCAGUUCUGUGGCACUCACCCAGGAACUGACUCAGCAUAAGAGGAUAGCUUCGACUGCCUAUGAGUUCAUCCUCAAGCCAACCAAUCGGUGCUCCUGGCUCACUGGACCCCUACCCACCAAAUUAUUCUUAAAAACCCUGAUCCCUGAGUUUUCUUUUCUUUUCUUUUUUUUUUUUUUAAUUAUACUUUAAGUUCUGGCAAACAUGUGUACAUCGUGCAGUUUUGUUACAUAGGUAUACACGUGCCCUGGUG
rnacentral:lncRNA from 10 species